AGAGUACUUCCUCCGUCCGAAAAUACUUGUCUUCAAAAUGGAUAAAUAGAGAUGUAUCUAGAACUAAAAUAUGUCUAGAUACAUCCCCUUUUAUCAAUUUUGAUGACAAGUAUUUUCGGACAGAGGGAGUAACUG
rnacentral:pre_miRNA from 1 species